rnacentral:tRNA from 1 species
GCGCCCUUAGUUUAAUGGUAGAACGAGGGUCUCCAAAACCUUUGGUGAGGGUUCGACUCCUUCAGGGCGCG